UGACGAGUGGCGGACGGGUGAGUAAUGUCUGGGAAACUGCCUGAUGGAGGGGGAUAACUACUGGAAACGGUGGCUAAUACCGCAUAACGUCGCAAGACCAAAGAGGGGGACCUUCGGGCCUCUUGCCAUCAGAUGUGCCCAGAUGGGAUUAGCUAGUUGGUGAGGUAACGGCUCACCAAGGCGACGAUCCCUAGCUGGUCUGAGAGGAUGACCAGCCACACUGGAACUGAGACACGGUCCAGACUCCUACGGGAGGCAGCAGUGGGGAAUAUUGCACAAUGGGCGCAAGCCUGAUGCAGCCAUGCCGCGUGUAUGAAGAAGGCCUUCGGGUUGUAAAGUACUUUCAGCGGGGAGGAAGGUGUUGUGGUUAAUAACCGCAGCAAUUGACGUUACCCGCAGAAGAAGCACCGGCUAACUCCGUGCCAGCAGCCGCGGUAAUACGGAGGGUGCAAGCGUUAAUCGGAAUUACUGGGCGUAAAGCGCACGCAGGCGGUCUGUCAAGUCGGAUGUGAAAUCCCCGGGCUCAACCUGGGAACUGCAUUCGAAACUGGCAGGCUUGAGUCUUGUAGAGGGGGGUAGAAUUCCAGGUGUAGCGGUGAAAUGCGUAGAGAUCUGGAGGAAUACCGGUGGCGAAGGCGGCCCCCUGGACAAAGACUGACGCUCAGGUGCGAAAGCGUGGGGAGCAAACAGGAUUAGAUACCCUGGUAGUCCACGCCGUAAACGAUGUCUACUUGGAGGUUGUGCCCUUGAGGCGUGGCUUCCGGAGCUAACGCGUUAAGUAGACCGCCUGGGGAGUACGGCCGCAAGGUUAAAACUCAAAUGAAUUGACGGGGGCCCGCACAAGCGGUGGAGCAUGUGGUUUAAUUCGAUGCAACGCGAAGAACCUUACCUGGUCUUGACAUCCACGGAAGUUUUCAGAGAUGGAAUGGUGCCUUCGGGAACCGUGAGACAGGUGCUGCAUGGCUGUCGUCAGCUCGUGUUGUGAAAUGUUGGGUUAAGUCCCGCAACGAGCGCAACCCUUAUCCUUUGUUGCCAGCGAUUAGGUCGGGAACUCAAAGGAGACUGCCAGUGAUAAACUGGAGGAAGGUGGGGAUGACGUCAAGUCAUCAUGGCCCUUACGACCAGGGCUACACACGUGCUACAAUGGCGCAUACAAAGAGAAGCGACCUCGCGAGAGUAAGCGGACCUCAUAAAGUGCGUCGUAGUCCGGAUUGGAGUCUGCAACUCGACUCCAUGAAGUCGGAAUCGCUAGUAAUCGUGGAUCAGAAUGCCACGGUGAAUACGUUCCCGGGCCUUGUACACACCGCCCGUCACACCAUGGGAGUGGGUUGCAAAAGAAGUAGGUAGCUUAACCUUCGGGAGGGCGCUUACCACUUUGUGAUUCAUGACUGGGGUGAAGUCGUAACAAGGUAACCGUAGGGGAACCUGCGGUUGGAUCACCUCCUUACCUUAAAGAA
rnacentral:rRNA from 1 species